AUGGCUGAGCAGUGAUAGUUGUACAUUUCCAUCACCUGUUGUGUUGAUUUCAUCAUGUCCAUUUGUUUAUGUUUUCUCACUUUUGCAAAGUCACUGUGCAUUUGCAAUAUGGUUCAAUGGGCAGGUACCAUCACGAAUUUGUCAUGCUAUAAAAAUCCUGCAGGAAUGUGAAAUUGACUGGUCUGAUGAACACAGGAUGGCCGAGCAGUGAUAGUUGUACAUUUCCAUCACUUGUUGUGUUGAUUUCAUCAUGUCCAUUAGGUGAUGUUUUUUUCACUAUAGAAUCAUAUUGCAAAUGCACGUGCAUUGUUGUGCAACUGGUAACCCAAAAAUAAAAAUAUGGUUGUAAAUGCAUUUACCGGUCAUUCUGAUAUUAAUGCUCGCUAUGGGAACACAGGAUGGCCGGGCAGUGAUAGUUGUACAUUUC